AGCCUCAUUCAUUCUAAGGUGGAAGUGGGCACUAUCAUUCAUGGUGUCCAGGAAUUGUUAAUGUGGCUACAUUGAGACACAGGUAAUGCUUGCAUCACAGCAAGUUUAUUGCAGUGGUGACAAUGAGACCUGUAACAUUU
ensembl:snoRNA